AUGGCUUCCGAGGAAACCAAACCAAAGAAGCAAAGAGAUGAGGAAUGCAUUAUAAACGGUCUCCCAGGAGAACUCAUUGAGCGGAUUUUUUUGAAGCUUCCAGUGAGCACUUUGUUGAGGUGCACUGGUGUUUGCGAGCAGUGGCAUAAAAUCAUCCGAGAUCCCCAGUUUGUCACCUCUCACCUCCAGGAUGCGCCCCAAUGCGCCGUCCUAUUCUUUCCGCAAGAGUCGGUCUCAGGUGAGCCCCAUCCUGCUGAUGCUAUCCUGAUUGAUGAAGCCUGGUCGCCAUCGACAUAUGCAGUGCCAGUGAUUGGGCCUGACGAUUUCCUUUGUGGUUCAUGCAAUGGGCUUCUUGUCUUAUACACAAAGUCAUCAACACUCAAGGUAGCUAACUUUGCAACUGGUGAAUGCCUGCAUCUUGAGAAACCUGUAAAGAAUUUGAGGGGUGAUCACUUCUUGUUCUACAACUUUGGAUUUCACCCAUUGUCAAAAGAAUACAAGAUUACACACUUCCUUGGUGAUCCUGUUGUGGGCAGCACUCGCUCCCAUAAUAAUAGCAGAUUCAGCGUCAUUCAAGUUUACACACUUGGUGGUGAGAAAUGGAGAGAUAUCAAAACUCCAGAAGCCCUAAGCUUAAACUGUGUAAAAAACUCUGGAGCAGUCAAUAUUGACGGAACAAUGUGUUGGCUAAUUGAAGACAUGGUAGCUAACUGGCAGCACGCAGUUAUGACCUUUGAUCUCAGUGGAGAAAGUUUUGCACGGAUACAACUGCCAGCAACUGUACAUGAAGAUUGUGCAGGUGGCGGUCCCCGUCGGUACUGGAUCAGAGAGAUAGAUAGGAAGAUAUGUAUAGCAACUGCUCAAGCCUGUCCUUCUCUUCCCAGAAGGCUUGUUGGUAUGCUGCAGAUCUGGGAACUUGAGAACAAAACGGAGCAAAGGUGGAGCCUGAAGUACAAUAUUCAGUACUCGCCAGAUUACAUUCCGGGUCCAAAUUUGGUUCAUAGGAAUAAGAUCAUACUGCAACGUCGCGACGGCAACCUAUAUUCCUAUGAGUUGCUCGGGGAGAACUUCAAUACUAAAUUGUGUAAGAUGGCAAAUCUGUUAGAUUUCUUUCCCCACAAGCCUGACAACAUGCAAUCCUAUAUCUGUGUGAAGUCACUUGUACGUUUAGAUGUAUACAAGAAGACUGCCAUUGCGCGUAGGCCAAAACAACGGGAAGGCUGGGAAUUGAAGAAGUGGGAGGCAUGGGAGCACCAGCUCUCUGAUUAUGAAAAACUGUGGACUCGCCUUCAUGAAGAAGAGCACGAGGGAAUUGCACUUGCAGAACACAGUAGCAUAUCAUUCAAUGGUCUACUGCCGCGUAUCUUGGAUGAUGCGAUUCGACAGGAUAUAGGCAUGAAAAUCAAUAAAAUAUGUCCAAGCCUUCCAGAUCAGCAACCAAGGCCCCUCCGGCGGCUUAAUUGUGUGGCACAGAAGCAAGAUAGGGAAAAUUUAUCUGCUCGUUUGGAGAAUUAUAGUAGCAUUAUGAAGGCAUCGAGGGAGGCUUCAAAGAGUAUCAUGAGUAUGAUACUUAGUGCUGUAGAAAAUCAGAGGGGUGCUUCGGGCUCAAAUGCUGGCAUUUCUUCUCAGAAUCGCAGUGAGGGCGAUGAUGCGAAGGCUUAA
rnacentral:rRNA from 1 species